AACAACUUUUUAAUAUAAAUGGGCAUGAUCUGGAAAAGGGAACAGUGUGUUGUCAACAUCAAAAGAAUGUGGCAUUGCCUUUCCAAGAUGAUGCCCAUUUAAAGUCAUUUCUUAAAGCAGGUCCCAUUUAUAAUGAGGUUAAAAAUAGUUAGUAUGUUGUUAUGUGGGUUUUGCUGCAUAGAUUGGGCAUAAUCAGAAAUUCUAAUCAUAAGAGUCCAAAAGAACAUUAUAAUUGUGGAAAAGGGAGGUCUACCAUGUGUCAAAGUCUCAGAAGGGAAGUGGAGGUUUAUCAUAUCAGUGGUGAGACAGGUGAUAGAUGAAUGGGGUGGUUUAGUGUCACUGCAGUGAAUUUAGUGAGAAAAUGAAAGACAACCUUUGGGGGGUGGUCUAAAAAAGAGUUGCGAAUUUAUGAACUAAAAUCUAUGUUAUAAUGGGAUUGAUCUCAGGAAUCUUACUCUUACUUGUGUUAUAGCCACAGCCUCAUAGAUGAGUCCAGUCAGUAUUUUAAUAAAAACCUUUCAAGCCAAUUGGAUGUGCAUUACCUCCAUGAACUUCUGCACAGCUGCAAGCAUUCCAAAUUUCAGGUUUAUGCCUGUGUGUUCCAUGAAGGCACCCAUAGGAUAUUGAAAGUUAUCAGGAUAUUCUUCCCACUCCAAGAUCCAGGAAAGUAACACAUCAAUACAGGACAAGGAGAUGCUUCAACAUCAGAAAUGCAUGGGAGAGGUCAUAGGAAAUGAAACAGACUGCUGUUUUCAUGAGAAGCAUUUACAGAGGGAAAUAAGGACACUCACCAAAUAGGGCUAAUUUGAAGAAGGACACAGCUGACUUAGUAGGAAGAAGGCAGAAGAAUUAUCUCCUGGUAAUCAAGACUCUGAAAAUAAGACUUAAGAUAAAAGACUGGAUACAUGCAAGAACAGAGUUCUUAAAGAUCACCAGCUGAAGAUUGUGAUUUUUCAUUCUUCUAUGCCCUAAGACAGCCAUAUUUUACCAUUUGAAACAUAAAUAAAAAUGACUUCCAGGCUUAUUUGAUUACAGACUGAAUUGCUCUAUCAUAGGAUGACAAGCAAUGACAGAUAGGUUCCCCAUAAAGAAAAGUCUGUGAGACUCCAUAUUUCCUGUAAAAGAUGAUAUGAGGAAACCGGGCAGAUUUUUCUUUCAUUCAUACUCUUUUAUAUGGGGGCAAUAGUACUGUCAAUCUCUAUUAUAUCAUUAGGUUACCUGGAAGGUCUUAUGUUUGGCAGUGGAAUGUAAGUUUUAGGGUAAUUUUUCUGAGUGGCAACCCAAGGCCAAUGUAGUAAAUUUUGAAAGAUCAAUUAAAUUACAGAAAAGGCUUGCAUAACAUAAAUGUGUUCUGCCCACUUGUCAACAUGGGUAAAGAUAUUAAUAUUGUAACAAGUGCAAUGACAGAAUUUCAUUUUCAGACUCCAGACUUCUUAACAGUAGCAGUGGCAAGGCAUCAAACCAGUGAGUUUUGCUUCUUUAAUAGUUUCUAUAAAACUUGACAGCCUUUCUGUACAUUGCAAAUACUCUAAAACCACAUUGACUUUAUACAUUAGCUAAACUGCCUAGGAACUUUUUCUAGAUACAACUAAUUCCUGAAGGUGAAGAAGACAGUGUGAGUAUUGCAAGAUCAUGGAUGCAGUUCUUCGAGGUAAAGGCUGUUUUACUCACAUUUGUGAUGUCCUGUUUGUCACAUAAAAGAAAGUCAAUAGAUGCUUCACUGAUUGAAUGUAUAAAGCUGUGAGCUAUGAAAUUUCUCUGAAGAAAAAGGUGAAAAGUCUGAAUUCUUCUUGUGCACCUCAAGUGAUAGUCAUUGUUAAGUAAACCUAAGUGGCAUGAAAGUGUAGGGUCAAGGAUGAUAAAAGGGACAUUUUAAAAUUAUAUUUAAACAGGAGGUGCCAUGGCAUAAUAUUUUCAGUUUAGAAUCAAAAAAGAAAAUGACUUUUUCUGCCAAAGACAAAAGUGUAAAUCUGUUUCCUUCUCCACCAUAUGCCACAAAUAAAAAAAAAAAAAAAUCACAGAUGUCAAAGAGAACACAGGCUGGAGGAAGCCAUCCAGCUACAAGGACCAGUAAAUAGUCAAAACCCAUUCCUAGCUCAACAGUAAAGCAAAAUCCAAUAUUUAAUAAGCAUAGCAGAGAGGAGGAGAGUUGUAAGAUAUGUACUUAAAUUUUACCUGCAUGCACAUAUGUCUUCAGACCUUCAGAUUUGCUCUCACUCCUGGAUCCAAAGUUCUGUUCUCUACAUAAUUUUUGUAUUGUUCUAAUUUUUCCUUUAGAACUUAUGUCAAGCAUCAUGCAUUCUUCCCUGAUUUUUUUUUUUUUUGGAGCAAUCUUCUCAACUCCUCCCAACAGCAUAUUACAUAUGCCUCUCUUUCUCCAUUUGCUUUUACUCCAGUUAGAAUUUGGGAGCCCAACAGGAUUAUAUCUUGUUUGUAAUAGCUGCUCUAGCUCCUAGCACACCAUUUGACACAUAAAGGUAAUAAACAAAUAUUUAUUAAGUAGUUGUUAAUUAAAUCCAAAACUUGGUAACAAAAACACAUUAUCAAAUAAAUGAACAUCUCCCAGCAGGCAAAGAGGACCUAACAAUCAUUGAAAACAUGACAAGUCUAGGAAAAGAAACCAGAAGAGAAGAAAAAUGAAAAUCUUCUGUAUUCCCAUAUUUGAUUUUUCCAAUUCGUACAGCUGAUAAACUAUCCAGU
rnacentral:lncRNA from 1 species